rnacentral:rRNA from 1 species
CAGCCGCCGCGGUAAUACGAAGGGGGCUAGCGUUGUUUGGAUUUACUGGGCGUAAAGCGCACGUAGGCGGAUCGAUCAGUCAGGGGUGAAAUCCUGGAGCUCAACUCCAGAACUGCCUUUGAUACUGUCGAUCUCGAGUCCGGAAGAGGUGAGUGGAACUCCUAGUGUAGAGGUGGAAUUCGUAGAUAUUAGGAAGAACACCAGUGGCGAAGGCGGCUUACUGGCUCAUUCUAGACGCUGAGGUGCGAAAGCGUGGGGAGCAAACAGGAUUAGAUACCCCAGUAGUCCCUGUCUCUUAUAC